GACGAACGCUGGCGGCGUGCUUAACACAUGCAAGUCGAACGGAAAGGCCCUGCUUUUGUGGGGUGCUCGAGUGGCGAACGGGUGAGUAACACGUGAGUAACCUGCCCUUGACUUUGGGAUAACUUCAGGAAACUGGGGCUAAUACCGGAUAGGAGCUCCUGCUGCAUGGUGGGGGUUGGAAAGUUUCGGCGGUUGGGGAUGGACUCGCGGCUUAUCAGCUGGUUGGUGGGGUAGUGGCUGACCAAGGCUUUGACGGGUAGCCGGCCUGGGAGGGUGGCCGGCCACAUUGGGCCUGCGAUACGGCCCAGACUCCUACGGGAGGCAGCAGUGGGGAAUAUUGCACAAUGGGCGGACGCCUGAUGCAGCAACGCCGCGUGCGGGAUGACGGCCUUCGGGUUGUAAACCGCUUUCGCCUGUGACGAAGCGUGAGUGACGGUAAUGGGUAAAGAAGCACCGGCUAACUACGUG
rnacentral:rRNA from 1 species